GUAGGUGAACCUGCGGAAGGAUCAUUAACGGACGAGGAAUUCAAUUUACUUGAAUUUCUUGGGAUCAACCAAAACCUGUAUGAUGAUGUAAAUUGUAUAUCGAUUAAUAAUCGUAUACGAAAAUAAUUUUAAUAAAAUACAAAACCCUCAACAACGGAUCUCUUGGUUCUG
rnacentral:misc_RNA from 1 species